UUCUCUCUCAUUUUGAUUUCAAAAUUUGAAGCUCCGCUCUCUCACACCUCUUCCUCUUUCCACCAAGCUUUCUCUCUCCGGUGGUGAUUAGCUCCGACGGAAUAUAGCCCCGGUGGUGAUAUCCGGAAUAUAGCUACAUUUGCCUCAAUCUCUGUCUCCUCUCUCCCUACACAGCUCCAAGAUAUUAUUCUGAAGGGGAAGAAGAGAGUUGCAGAUGUUAUGCCAAUUGCUACAGGUCAUGAGCGUGAAGAACUUGAGGCCGAACUCAAGGGAAGGAAUGUUCUGGAGAUGAAUUAUCCAAUUGGACCUUUUGGCACCAAGGUUUGAAUUAUUGGACCUUUGCUGUGUACUGUGAUUUUUGCUUUACUUUAAUUGUGCUUUCAUUUGUAUCCAGUGAGUUCUGCUUUAUUUAUAUGCAUUUUGAUCCCAAUCUGAUA